rnacentral:rRNA from 1 species
UCCGUAGGUGAAACCUGCGGAGGGAUCAUU